rnacentral:snRNA from 1 species
AAUGCUACUGCAGAGUCUGAUUACGUU